rnacentral:lncRNA from 1 species
AUGUCGGAGAGCCCAGAAGAUCAACCAAGUACUGGAAUUUUGGGCCGUAUUGGUUACUGGUUGUCUCCGUGGAGAGGGAGAGCUUCUGUGCCGCCCUGUGAAAAUGACUCAAAUGACUCAUCGAGUGGCAGUUAUGCUGAAGGCACAGAAGGGGAGGAUGGCGAGGAGUCAGUGAAAGGCGUCCCGUCCGGAGAGGAGCAGGAUUCCAGCUCGGAGAAGUUUUUCCCCUGCGAGGAGGAGAACGCCACGCAGUCUGCCCGCAGAGACAGCUCCGCGGAGAGAGGAGGUCCGCGAGAGGAGGAGCUCGCGGUGUGCCGGGAGCAGAGAAGGGGGCGGGGCAACGAGAGGGAGGAGAGAAGCAACGGUACUUCGGAAAGUGGGAAUCAUGUGAAGAAUGUCUGUCAUCUGACGAAUCUCUUUACCUCUAGACCAGAAGCGGUGUGGGACUUUGACCAGCCUCGCCCCACACACCCAGGACAGGUUCAGUCAGACAAGAGACUCCAUGCAUACUUAGAGGAGACCAGCGUGAUUCACUCUGGCCAACAGGAAGUUGUCACAACCACAUUAAAAAAAGGUCUGCACGUUCCCGCUAAGGGGAAGCCGUCUGCUAGCUUAACUGCAGAGACAAAUGACAGCACAGUAGUGUCAGAACCUCAACCUGAUAAGGAACAAACAGACGACAUGGGGCGCAAACAUUCCGGCAGAAAAAGAUCCAGGAGGAAAUCUCAGGGAGACGGGGGGAGCAAACCCCCCGAAAAACCUGCAGAAGAAUCCUGUAACUCAGUGUCCAGUCCCCAAAGCGAAAGUCCCACUUCCCCCGCAGGAGAGGCGCGUUCAAGCCCCUCCUCCGAGACAAACCCCACCUCGCAGGCCGCACCUGGAGGAGGAGGAGGAGGGCAAAUUGAAACUGUUUGUCCAGGCGCCGUAAAACAGUUGGGCAACCUCAGGAAUUCAAUCUCUGUCACUGCAGCCACUAAGGCACGUGAAGGGAACGCAGGUGCCGAAAUGGAGCAGGAAGGCAGCUUUUACAAGGUGGAGAGGAAGACUGAAACGCCAGAGUCCAAACGCAGGAGUAUCAAGGUUUCAACUUGUGAGGUGAAGAACUACACGAAAGUUCUGCCUUUAAAUCAGCCGCUGAACCAGCAGGAACUGAAUUCAGAUCGUCCGACCACCGGAGAUGAAGACAAGAACCGGCCGGGAACCUUUCCGGACUCAAGGUACGUUUACGUUCUUCUUCACCUAAAAUCAAAGGGAGGAUUAUGCGUGGUUAAAAAUAACCGAUGCGUCAAGUCAGAGGCGAAACUG